rnacentral:rRNA from 1 species
UACGUAGGGAGCAAGCGUUGUCCGGAAUCAUUGGGCGUAAAGCGCGCGUAGGUGGCCUCGUAAGUCCGCUGUGAAAGUCCAAGGCUCAACCUUGGAAAGCCGGUGGAUACUGUGAGGCUAGAGUACGGAAGAGGCGAGUGGAAUUCCUGGUGUAGCGGUGGAAUGCGCAGAUAUCAGGAAGAACACCCGUGGCGAAGGCGGCUCUCUGGGACGUGACUGACGCUGAGACGCGAAAGCGUGGGGAGCGAACAGG